rnacentral:pre_miRNA from 10 species
AGGGUUCUCCAUGGGAUCCCUUCGUCUCCAUGGCUGGACGAAGGGUACGGAGACGAAGCCCUUCGUCCAGCCAUGGAGACGAAGGAAUCCCAUGGAGAACCCUU